rnacentral:misc_RNA from 1 species
AUCCCAGCAAACCUUGUAACGUGCAAGAAAGUACACCAUGUGCAAGAGAAACGACAAGAGCCCAAUUGUAACUCUAUCCACCCAGUUACGAAUCCUUCACAAAAAACCAAAUAAUGUUGUCCAAGUGGGUCCAUCUUAAGCUCUUGUCUAAAAAUUUUUAUCUAAUUUUCAGUGCUCUCCUCCUGCCAGUUUUUAUUUUUUUUGGCUAACAUCAAUG